CCGAUUAUGCAUAUUGUACUUGUUAGAAGUCGAAUUCUCCCUUCUUUGACCUGGUCAAAAAUCUUCCUAGGGAAGCGUGUCGGGAAGUAGAACGGCUACGAUCAGUGACUCUGACUCUCGAAGUUUGCGUCCUUCGACUGGAUCAAACGAUUCGGCUGACGAGAGAUCGGAUCAGCCGAGUUCGAAAAUUUCUACUAUGGAAUCAGUUCGGCUGGAUGAGCCGAAUGUACGGACUGCACAGAAACUAGGGUCGGCGAGCGGCUGUGAUUAAUGACCCUCAAAGUUUGCGCCCUUUGACUGGAUCAAGCGAUUCGGCUGAUGAGGGAUCGGAUCAGCCGAGUUCAAAAUCUCCUAUUACAGAAUUGGUUCGGCUGGAUUAGCCGAAUGUAGGGAAAACAAUGGAUUUUUGAUCGGCUAAUAAGCCGAAUAGAUGGAAUACAUAGUGUUUGAUCGGCUGAAAGAGCCGAAUGCCUUUAUAUAUUAAAAUAAAGUUGAAAACUCAUACAAAAUAGAGUGUGCCCGAAGGGCAUACAGACUUUGAAAAUCUAGAUUACAACAGAGUGUGCCCGUGGGGCAUACAGACUCCAGAGUUCUAACUUAAAAAUUACUUCUAGGAAAGCAGUAAAUGCGGAUAAAAAAGAUUACAUGUAGACUUCUCCUAGAAAACAAUAAAGGCAAGAAAGAAAAGUAUUGAAAAUACAAUGGUUUUCUCGUUCAGGGGAGAGAAAGACCUUUAUUAUAGGCUUCAAAGUUACUAUUUAUAAUAUCUUAUCAGCCCAUAUUAUUGGUUGGUUAUAGUAGUGGGGGAAGUGGUAUAGCCAUGAUCAUAAAAGUUACGCUCCACUUCUCAUGGAAGUUACGCCCCACUUCACAUAGAAGUUACGCCCAACUUCACAUGGAAGUUACGCCCCACUUCUCAACCAUUCCCGCCUAAACGCUCUUGACCUUCAGGCGCUUUAUUGCCGACUCUUGGUGUACCACGUGUCUUUAUUUCUUUAACUCAUAUGUGGGUUAGGUCGGCGUGUUAAUUUUAAUUUUGGCAUCAACAGUACUCUGUUAGUGAC
rnacentral:lncRNA from 1 species